rnacentral:rRNA from 1 species
UAAUACGGAGGGUGCAAGCGUUACUCGGAAUCACUGGGCGUAAAGGAUGCGUAGGCGGAUAAUCAAGUCAGGAGUGAAAUCCUACAGCUCAACUGUAGAACUGCUCUUGAAACUGUUUAUCUAGAAUAUGGGAGAGGCAGAUGGAAUUGGUGGUGUAGGGGUAAAAUCCGUAGAGAUCACCAGGAAUACCCAUUGCGAAGGCGAUCUGCUGGAACAUUAUUGACGCUGAGGCAUGAAAGCGUGGGGAGCAAACAGGAUUAGAUACCCUGGUAGUCCACGCCCUAAACGAUGUACACUAGUUGUUGCGAUGCUCGUCAUCGCAGUAAUACACCUAACGGAUUAAGUGUACCGCCUGGGGAGUACGGUCGCAAGAUUAAAACUCAAAGGAAUAGACGGGGACCCGCACAAGCGGUGGAGCAUGUGGUUUAAUUCGAAGAUACGCGAAGAACCUUACCUGGACUUGAAAUCCCAAGAAUCUCUCAGAGAUGAGAGAGUGCCCUUUCGGGGGAGCUUGGUGACAGGUGCUGCACGGCUGUCGUCAGCUCGUGUCGUGAGAUGUUGGGUUAAGUCCCGCAACGAGCGCAACCCUCGUCCUUAGUUGCUAACAGUUCGGCUGAGCACUCUAAGGAGACUGCCUUCGUAAGGAGGAGGAAGGUGAGGACGACGUCAAGUCAUCAUGGCCCUUAUGUCCAGGGCUACACACGUGCUACAAUGGGGAGGACAAAGAGAUGCAAUACCGCGAGGUGGAGCAAAUCUUAAAACCUUCUCUCAGUUCGGAUUGGAGUCUGCAACUCGACUCCAUGAAGCUGGAAUCGCUAGUAAUCGUAGAUCAGCAAUGCUACGGUGAAUACGUUCCCGGGUCUUGCACACACCGCCCGUC